rnacentral:snoRNA from 2 species
AGCUCAAUGAUUUCAACCAGGCACUCUGGUUGUAUACGCUAUUCUGAUUGCUGCUGUUGAAAAAAAAUUUAUUCAUGAGAGCU